CCAGACUCCUACGGGAGGCAGCAGUGGGGAAUAUUGGGCAAUGGGCGCAAGCCUGACCCAGCGACGCCGCGUGAAGGAAGAAGGCUUUCGGGUUGUAAACUUCUUUUCUUAGGGACGAAGAAAGUGACGGUACCUAAGGAAUAAGCCACGACUAACUACGUGCCAGCAGCCGCGGUAAUACGUAGGUGGCAAGCGUUAUCCGGAUUUACUGGGUGUAAAGGGCGUGUAGGCGGGACUGCAAGUCAGAUGUGAAACCCAUGGGCUCAACCCCGUCGAGCCGUUGAAACUGGCAGACUUGAGUUGGCGAGAAGUACGCGGAAUGCGCGGUGUAGCGGUGAAAUGCAUAGAUAUCGCGCAGAACUCCGAUUGCGAAGGCAGCGUACCGGCGCCAGACUGACGCUGAGGCACGAAAGCGUGGGGAUCGAACAGGAUUAGAUACCCGUGUAAC
rnacentral:rRNA from 1 species